ACGCUGGCGGCAUGCCUAAUACAUGCAAAUCGAACGAAGCCUUUUAGGCUUAGUGGUGAACGGGUGAGUACCACGUAUCCAAUCUACCCUUAAGUUGGGGAUAACUAGUCGAAAGAUUAGCUAAUACCGAAUAAUAACAUCAAUAUCGCAUGAGAAGAUGUAGAAAGUCGCUCUUUGUGGCGACGCUUUUGGAUGAGGGUGCGACGUAUCAGAUAGUUGGUGAGGUAAUGGCUCACCAAGUCAAUGACGCGUAGCUGUACUGAGAGGUAGAACAGCCACAAUGGGACUGAGACACGGCCCAUACUCCUACGGGAGGCAGCAGUAGGGAAUUUUUCACAAUGGGCGCAAGCCUUAUGAAGCAAUGCCGCGUGAACGAUGAAGGUCUUAUAGAUUGUAAAGUUCUUUUAUAUGGGAAGAAACGCUAAAAUAGGAAAUGAUUUUAGUUUGACCGUACCAUUUGAAUAAGUAUCGGCUAACUAUGUGCCAGCAGCCGCGGUAAUACAUAGGAUGCAAGCGUUAUCCGGAUUUACUGGGCGUAAAACGAGCGCAGGCGGGUUUGUAAGUUUGGUAUUAAAUCUAGAUGCUUAACGUCUAGCUGUAUCAAAAACUGUAAACCUAGAGUGUAGUAGGGAGUUGGGGAACUCCAUGUGGAGCGGUAAAAUGCGUAGAUAUAUGGAAGAACACCGGUGGCGAAGGCGCCAACUUGGACUAUCACUGACGCUUAUGCUCGAAAGUGUG
rnacentral:rRNA from 1 species